GCCCGUGCUGAGGUUUUCCCUCGACAUGUAAAUUGCAGAUUUCACGACCAGUUUGCUUCAAUAUCUUCUCUCCAUCAAGUUGUUGCUUCUGCUGCAAGAAGUCUCCCGGUGAUGCAGAAAAAUGAAGACGUGGAGCCCCGAGCAGAAGGAGUGAGAUUCCUGUCCCCACCUCGCCGAGUCUAUUAGUGGCAGGAGCGGAGCUGACACCUGGCAGCAGCUGCACCGGUGCCGCGCUGCGACCGAGAGCAGCGGGGGAGCGGCGCUUCUGCAGCAGCCUCCUGUGUCCAUCCUGUGAACCUAUUUCUGUAAAAGAGGUUUGUAAGUGAUAGGGGAAAUGGCAGCCUGCGAUGAGACAAACUCUCUUCCAUCACAUUUUAUCCCGGGCAGAGGUAAAGGAUGCUGAAAGCCCUUGCGGCCAGCAGGGGAGAAAAGCACUUGAGGAGCUGGCGGUGAUGUGCCACCAGCAGGCUGCUUGCCCCAGGGCGGCCGGGGAAAGGAGCGGCUGCAGCCUGGGCAUCCAGCAUCCCCGAGCACGCUGUGCUAAGGAGGCCUCUGUUUCAUGGCUUUUCCUCGUGGCUAUAAACUUGCAACAAACCAUUUUUUUCCCCUUUUAUAGAUCAGCAUUACUAAUUUAUUGGAAGUUUACUAUUUGGAAAUGUUCCCAUAUAAAUUAAUGGGAAGGUAAUAUUAAACUGGGUCCCUGGGGGAGGAGAAAGCCAAACAAAAACCACAUUCAGUGUGCUUGAGGAAAGGCAGGGAGCUAAAUCACCCCAUUCUCUGUGCUCAACUGUCCUGGAGGGUUAGGGAUGAGCAUGGUGGGUUUCCUCAUCCCCUGUGCAGUUUUCUUCCUUCGUGACCUCCGUGGGAAAUGCCCUCGGACUGUUGGCCUCCUGUAGUGCUUCUCAGGCAGGCAGACAGCUCAGAGCACUUCACCGGGCAUUUAAUUAUAAGCCAGAGGAGGAAGCACCCUACUCAGACUGUGAACCAGCAGCAGGCCCCAGCGUACAGCACAAAU
rnacentral:lncRNA from 1 species